GACGAACGCUGGCGGCGUGCUUAACAAAUGUAAGUCGAACGAGUGGAGAACGGGUAAGUAAUACGUGAGUAACCUGCCCUCUUUUUGGGAUAAGCAUUGGAAAAGGGGUCUAAUACCGGAUAAAGGGGGAUGGGCUCGCGUCCUCUCAGCGUGUUGGUGUGGGGCUGGACUACCACGGCGGUGAAGGUUAGCCGCCAGGAGAGGGUGGCCGGCCACAUUGGGAAUGAGAUACGGCCCAGACUCCUACUGGAGGCAGCAGUGUGGGAUAUUGCACAAUGGGCGAAAGCCUGAUGCAGCGAUGCCGCGUGGGGGAUGAAGGCUUUCGGGUUGUAAACCUCUUUCGCGAGCGAACGGGUAGGUGGAGAAGAAGCGCCGGCUAACUACGUGCCAGCCGCCGCGGUAAUAC
rnacentral:rRNA from 1 species